rnacentral:tRNA from 2 species
UAUGCAUUGAACUUAAAAUUCAUUUAUAAAGAAUAAUCUUUUUUUAGA